rnacentral:tRNA from 1 species
UAAAUCGUGACUCAAAGGGUAACGCCUUGUAAGCGUUAGAUCGCGGAUUCGAUUCCCGCCAUUCUAA